UAUAACCGGCACUGGCAACCAAAAGCGAGCCUGAGAGAGAGGGAGAGAGAGAGACUUUUCCCCCAGCCACCCCCACCCCUUUUUCUUUUUUCUCCAAGGCUGCACUUUGGAAGAGAUCAUGUAGAAAGGACAGAAAGUGAGCAGGGAGCGGGGGCUUUUGUCUAUUGUUCUCCUUGUGCUACUUGAGAGAAACUGCAAUCCCAAGACUUAACAGAAUCUAAA